rnacentral:tRNA from 1 species
UAAUGAGCUCAGCUGGUAGAGCGGAGGACUGUAGAUCCUUAGGUCGCUGGUUCGAUUCCAGCUUGAAGGAG